rnacentral:tRNA from 1 species
GCCGGGGUGGCGGAAUAGGUAGACGCAAGGGACUUAAAAUCCCUCGGCGGGAAACUGCCGUGCCGGUUCGAUUCCGGCCCUCGGCACCA